CUUUCGGCUAAUAAAGAAAUCAAAAGAAAAAAAAGGUGAAAGACAAAAUGAUGAGAAAACAUCAUGAUGAGGAGGCAUCAUGAUGAUGUUUUUUUCUUUUGUGGUUAUUUUAUUACCAUAAUUAUUGUUGUUGUUUCGGGUAGAAGAGAAGAGUGUGAGGGCUUAUUUUUUAGGAGAGAGCAGAAGAGAGAAGAGUGAGCUGCCGAGAGAAGGAGAGUUGCAGAGAGCCCAAACAGAAAAAAGAAGCUGCUGCUUCAUUUGGUUAGUAAUCAUUCACCAAAGUAGUUGUUGUUGUAAUAGCUUUGAGCUAUAUGUAUAGAGAAGAAAUUAUUCAUUAUAUUUCUUUCUCUAUUUGUUUAUGUGGUGUGUGAGAGCUAUUGGGUGUAUUGGGUUAUUUGGGUUGUGAGAUUGCCAACACUUUGUAAACUCCCAUUUGGUUGAUAGUGGAUUAUUGGGUGAGCUCCUACUGCUCUGAGGACGUACUCCAGUUACACUGACUGUUGAGGAACCUCGUUAAAAUCUUGGUGUCUUUAAUAUUUUGUUCUUGCAUUUUCAUUUGAUAAAUUUCCUGUGGGUUAGCUUGAGUUUGUUCCAACGGGUUUGGUGCUAUCCUAGCACAACAAUUGGUAUCAGAGCACUGGUU
rnacentral:lncRNA from 1 species